rnacentral:rRNA from 1 species
UACGUAGGGGGCAAGCGUUGUCCGGAAUCAUUGGGCGUAAAGCGCGUGUAGGCGGCCAGGUAAGUCCGUUCUGAAAGCCCGGGGCUCAACCCCGGGAGGCGGAUGGAUACUGCUUGGCUCGAGUCCGGAAGAGGCGAGUGGAAUUCCCGGUGUAGCGGUGAAAUGCGCAGAUAUCGGGAGGAACACCAAUGGGCGAAGGCAGCUCGCUGGGACGGGUACUGACGCUGGAGACGCGAAAGCGUGGGGAGCAACAGG